CUCUUUUGCUACACCCUUUUUUACACCUCGUAUACAAAUUAGUAACACCUAUGGCCUUCAUUGACUCUAACAAGUAUAAGUAGGUAAGAUUGACUCCCCGACGAGUAAGGCUCUAGAUCAGUAGCUUAAAGAAUCGAAGUUUCAUCAAUCGUUGUUUGAUUCCCAUAGUAGUUAGUGACUUUAUUAUAGGGUAGUUUGCUUAUUGUUAGCGCUAGUCCAAUUACUUAUUAUUAUUAUCACUCAUGCAGUAAACCAAUACACCAAUGGGUAGCCCAUGAGUAGGUACACGGAAGAAGGAGUAGUUACACCAAUGAGCAACCAAUACAUCGGCACAAACAGCCUAAUAUACAUCAAAAGUAUAGCUCCUAACAAGACAACUUACUAAUGGGUUUCCCUCUUUCUUGUUAAAACACCUCCCUUUCCGGGCUCACUCAGGGAAUUCUGAAAAUACACAUCAAACUUCAUUCUUAUAUAGUUCCCACACCGACCGUUCUUUCUUUUUGUAUAUUUGAAUUCUGUAAAUGCACCGGAGCAUACCAGACUCCCCGGACCAUACCAUACCAUACUAUAUAGGCUAUUCAUGACAUAACCGAUUCUAUAUACUAACCAGUGGAAGCCUCGCACUUGGGCAUAAAAGAAUGUAAGGAAGUCGCGGCAUAACGAGAGGAGAGAGACAGACUUCAGUAAAGGAUAGCGAGAAUGAGAUCGAGUAAAGGCAGUUCCGUAUGUGCCCUCGGUGUUCGGUCUGAUAGUAUAGAUUUGCACUUAGAAGUCAGAUAUUAAAACAAGGAAAGGUAGGCCUAAAGAAAGGAAAGACAUGCCCGAGCGAGAGCGGCCCUG
rnacentral:lncRNA from 1 species